rnacentral:lncRNA from 10 species
GAGAAAAGAAGAGAACAAGAGGAGAAAAGAAAAGACCUGUGUGUUUAUGGUUCAGGGCAUCACAGAUAAAGAUAUCACAGUUCCUGCCUGAAACAGAAAUGUUCUCCAACCCCGUGUUGUCAAGUAAUAUCUCAGUUUAAAACAAACUUCUUUUUGUUGUUGUUAUUGUUGCUGUUUUUCGGGAAAGAGAACGUUCAUGGCACUUAGACUUAUUUGAGAUGAAACAGUGCACAGAGCACAGGCUGUUCUGGUAACUUGCUAGCGAUUUCCUCUCAAAUCAUUCUGAGAAUGUUACAGCUGCCUUUGGAAAAUUAUGAGUAAAAUAAUUUCCUACCCAGAUGUUUCUAAUGGACAUAGGCAGGGCAAGGCUGACAGGUGAAAGUGGAGUCAAUGUUUGUCAAUCAAGGGAAACAGAAAAACUCAGAGGAUUAGAAGCUUUAGGUGCUGUAUUUGCUAAUUAUGAAGGCGAUGCUGGGGAGGAAGAAGAGAAGAGAAUCUUGAGGAAUCAAAUGAGAGUGAUGCUAGUGUCCAUCUGCUAAGGGAGACACGUUUCCCUCUACCUGUGCUUUCUAUGUGGUCUAUGGGGCAAGGUGAGAAGUGGGGGUAAUCCAGAAUUCAGCCCUCUCUCCCCUGAGGGGAGUGGUUUAGUGGGGCAGGGAUGACUAUCAAACCAGGGAGAAAGUUUCUCUCUACAGUAGACACCCCUGGACAAUUUCCUUGUCUCCCUCCUGUACAUCCAGGAAAAGCAAUUUUUUUUUCUCAUUUUAAGGGGGAAAAAGAGAGGGUGGGGAUAGGAACUCAGCUCCUUCAGUAUAAAGGACUAAAUGAAAAAUAUAAAAGCCCAAAUUGUAAAUCCUGGAGAAAUGAAGCCAUGGGGUGGAGGGGGGAGGGGAUGACUGUAGUGGUGGAAAGGUAAGUUGCUCUGCUAUGCGCCUUUACUUAAAAUAAAAACAAACAAACAAAAAACAAACAUCUUCCAGGAUUUCCCCAGACGGGGCCUUACGCGGGAUCGAUGUGCCUCUCACCUAGCCCAGACAAGGCAGGGGCUCCCCAGGAGAUAUUUUAAAUAGUCAAGGUGCUCACUGAUUAUCAGUGGCCAAAGCCCCGCCACCCACCGUAACCAAGGCAACAGGAGGCAGGUGCUGCGACUGGUUGCCUGGUAAGCAUGCUAGUGCCAAGUCCUUUCCCUUCCUUCUCCACCUCCGUUAGCCCUUUUGUGAUAGCGCCUCUCCCUCCGCUAUCUUUCCCCUUCUUGGCCAAACAAUAAUCUUUGCUCCUCAUACAAAGGUCACUUUGGGCUCCUUUGGGUAAAAAAACGCGUACCUUGAUGUUCUUUUUGAACAGAUUUCAUCCACGCUUGAGUUUUGAGACCUAGAUAAAAUGUGCUUCUUACCUCGGCUUCAAUAUCUUCUCCCUCCACCCCACUCUUUCCCUUUCACUCACUCCUAUUAAGGCAUACAGAGAGCGCGGGGAGGAAGGAAGGAAGGGAAAAAGGAAGGGGGAGAGAGCGAGAGGGAGCACGGGGGAGCGCAGGAUUUAAAUGUGGCGAUUUUUCACGGAACACCAGAGCCUGGGGCUCACAGUAGAUCCUCUGUCCCGCUUGCCCCUUUGCUCACCGCCUGCAAUCGUGCCUCUGCUCCCCGCACCACUGCCUAAAUUUGGCGCCAAGUUUUUCCACUGGUCGUGGCCAGAGCGAGAGAGAAUGCUCUCCUAGAAUCCCACACCUAAAUCCCUGGAGAAAUGAGGAAGAUGAGUCCCGCUUUCUUCCGCGAACCUGUGUCACCUCCUGACCUCCUCCGCGUGGGGUCUGAGGGGCCGCGAGCGCAAGUGGCGUGGGCUGGGAGGCCGAGCCGUGCGCAGGCACCGACCAUGGGCACCCUAGGGCCGGGGCGCUGUCCAGCCUCUGGUGCUGAAGCUGCAGGCUCGGAUUCGCUGGGGGAGGGGCUCCAGGGACCUUUAGCAGCCUGAUUCUGAGCCGACUCCAAGCGGGUAGCGACUCGAAGGAGAGGCGCUUGGUCUGCCGAGUGGAAAGGCUACACUGGGAAGUAACGGCAUUAGGCGCUCUCUUUCAGCAGAUAGGGCUCUCCCAGGGCGCAAUCCCCGGCGCCUCUGAUUCCCCUCCCUGGAGUUAUUUGCUGCAAUUGCGGUGGGUAGGAAGAAAGGCCCUUUGCACUGGGGCGAUUACCCAGUGGUCUCCUGGUACUUUUCACAUUUUUUCCUGCGGCUCUGGGCUCUCUGGGUGCUGGCCAGCCUGGCGCUCAGAUCUGGUGGCAGGCAAAGCAAAGAGGAGAGGCUUGGAACGCCGAACCCAGCUGCUCUUCUGCAUGCAACAAGUCAGCUGCAUCUAGAAUCAGGGGCGAGAAGCGCGGGAGGAGGGGCGACGGCGGGCUUGGGGCGGCUGGGUUGCGAGAGCCGGCUCCCGCGAGGCUGUGGGGCCGUCUUUCUCCUACUGGGCGCGGGACCGAGCGAAACAAACUGCAAGCUGGGUUUCCGCGUCGCCCCGGGCAGGUACUGGAACCAGACGCCCCCACACCUCUAGCCUGCCCAGCAUCCCGUAGGAGCGCUCACCUGCUGGGCUCCGGAGUCGCCUUCCUUCCUCUUCAUUUUGGCAAGGCACAUUUGGCGGGUGCCAAGCCUGGCCGCUCGCUUCUCCGGCCCUCCAGAGCAGCCUCAGGCUUAGCUUCCCGAAUAUCAGCUCCAGUUGGCUGCUUCUCCAGUCCCGAGCCCUUGACCUGGAGGAGGGGACGGGACCGGGGACCUCGGCUGGGAUUUUUACCUGGCAUGGGUCGCCGCGGCUAGGGAGGAAGACCACUUGCUCUCCGUUUCUUUCUGGAAGAAAGCCCCUCACCACCCAGCUGCCGGUACUUUGCUUCCCCCCAGGAGCCGCAGUGCAAGUAGCAGCGCAGUGCGGGGGAGGGGGUGGGGUUUGAGGAAGCUGUUUGUGAAGUGCCCCUUGAAUACUUGCCUCUCUGAGGCCAUCAGUCCUGUCCGGGUCCGUAGUCCUGGCAUGGUCCGCCGGGUGCAAACACAGUCGCCGCGGCUGCCGGGCCAGAGGAGAACAGCUGCUUUAAAGCUGAGACCAACCCACGGGUGGCCUGUCAGGGCCACGGAUGUUCAUGACGUCAUCCUGAAGGCGAGCGGAGAAAGCGAGUGGAGAGGGGGGAGCCGCGCUUCACAUCAAAUGUCCCCUGUGGCCAUGGCAACAGCUUUGGGGGAGGGGGUGCCGGUCCGCGGGCCAGCAGCGGGCAGCCUGCGACUCCUGCCAGGGUCCAGCGCUCCGCUGGGGUAGAGUCCGUCAUUAGUGCUGAAUCCAGUUGUGCCCGGACCAGAAGAGACACCAGAGCCAGUCCCGUCCCCUCCCCGGGCUGGUCAUAGCAGGGCCAUUUCCUAUUCUUCCACCACCUUACCUGGGCAGGUCAGACCCGGUUCACCUGACCGCUCACAGACGUAUUCUCACUCACUCUCGACCGACGCAUGCUGGAGCAGAGCACACCCAGGCAGCGCCCAAGCGGGACUCACCCACCUGCCCGGGUCCUCGCCUGCACACACGACAAACUGAGGCUUCAAAGCAGCCUUGAGAGCUUCAGAACAUGACAAACCCACUACUGAUCCAGUGCGCAUCUAGGGGGCGCAAACUGGUGACCAACGAACCAGACAGGACACAAAAAUGUUUGCCCAACCCUGGACGGACACACAAAUAUCUGUGCUGCCCACAUCCAGCCAACACAGGCAGCAGGAUAUUUCCUCCUAGUCAGACUGGUUUGUUUAUUCUUUAGGUGCCGUGCCAGAAGCCACACAGCUGAUAAGUGGUGGAUCCAUCUUGAAUUUGACUUCUAGACACUCCCUUUUCAUAGGACAGUGGGAGUUUAAUCAUGGACAACAAUUCUUCUUCAGAUUAGAACUUAAUUGGAGGACAGAUUGGCAGCUCAGCCGACCUUACUGUCAUCGCCAUUAGCCAAAUAAAGAUAAACCUUGACACUGCCAGUUUCCUCAAUAUUCUCAUGCAUUCAUUUCUUGGAAUU